UACAGAGGUCUCAAGCGUUGUUCGGAUUUAUUGGGCGUAAAGCGUGCGUAGGCGGCGGGGUAAGUGAGGUGUGAAAUCCCGGAGCUUAACUCCGGAACUGCACUUUAUACUGCCUUGCUCGAGGGCUGGAGAGGAGACUGGAAUUUACGGUGUAGCAGUGAAAUGCGUAGAGAUCGUAAGGAAGACCAGUGGCGAAAGGCGAGUCUCUGGAAGCUGCUGACGGCUGAGGCAACGAAGGCCAGGGGAGCAAACGGGG
rnacentral:rRNA from 1 species